GAUGAACGCUGGCGGCGUGCCUAACACAUGCAAGUCGAGCGAUCCCUUCGGGGAGAGCGGCGGACGGGUGAGUAACGCGUGGGUAACCUGCCCUGUACACACGGAUAACAUACCGAAAGGUAUGCUAAUACGGGAUAACAUAUGAAAGUUGCAUAGCUUUCAUAUCAAAGCUUUUGCGGUACAGGAUGGACCCGCGUCUGAUUAGCUAGUUGGUAAGGUAACGGCUUACCAAGGCAACGAUCAGUAGCCGACCUGAGAGGGUGAUCGGCCACACUGGAACUGAGACACGGUCCAGACUCCUACGGGAGG
rnacentral:rRNA from 1 species